UGUAACCUUUGGACCAUCUCGUGGUUUGCGUUCUUUUGUUGUUGUAAAAUAGUAGUUUUGUUUAAACGGCGGACGAAGUAUCCCUCGGGAUCGCCACUUCUCGAAUCAAAUGUUUGAUGUAGCACUUGGAUCUUGAAUAUUCUCUUGGGUCGAACUACAGAAAGCUGCUAGUGAACUUUAAUCAUGAGUGACACUUCGAAAAGUAUAACUACAAAACAACGCAAACAACACGAGACUGAGAAAGCUAAUGAAGAGCUUGAGUCAAUCACGGUUGUUUAUAAUGGUCAACAACACACAGUGAAGUUUCCAUUCAACGCCAACGCCAAAGUUAUAAGUCAAAGUAUCAAGAAAGUAACUGGAGUCAAAGGGUCAUUUUACGUGCAUUUUGGCGAAAAGUCGAACAACUAUUUACACUGCUCAAGUGUCACCAGUGGAAAUCUCGCUAAACUUGCCGGGCAGCCCCUCGAGCUUAGAGGGGGAAACGAAGACACUGACCAUGAAACAAGUAUCAUAUUUACCUUGCACCCUCUUGGUAUUCAAGCUCUACGUGCCACCACAACACAGUUUGCUCAACUAUAGAGAACAUCUUUUGAACUUAAUAGUUCCCAAAAUUUAAUUCUGAGAAUUCAACAAAGGAGGUGAUUCCAUAUGGUAUUACAACAGUCAAGCCCUCAGACCUGAAGUCAAGAAAAAGUGCAGGGAGAUAGAAAUUGUACCAUUUGAUAACCCUCCAUAACUACUGUCAUCCACAGACUUGGAAUUUAAAGAGAAUCUGUCAUGCAAAGGACUCAUAGGUUAAGUGUGCAUGCAGAUAUUGGCCUUUUCUCAUCUGAUUCAUUUACUACAAAGACCGUAGUGUGAAGAUGUGCACUUUUGGAGACAUUAAAAGUGUGGUUUUUCUUGUGAAAUUUGUUGGUGAUGCAAAGAAAAUAAGACACAGCUAAGAAAAGUGAGCUGUUCUUAAAAAAAGUUACCAGAAUGCAGUUAAGUUAUAUUUGAAAAUACAUUGUCAUUAAUUAAAGAAAUCAAAUUAACAAAUGUAUUCCUUGUUGCCAUGCAACUGUUCAGUGAUAGAUCACAGUGGACGUCACAAUUAAUGUUAGUAUCAAGAACAAAAAUGUGGCACACAAGACGCAGCUGUGUGUCAAUGACAUUCUUACCAAAUUUUGAUGCUGUCUUUGAUCUAUUACUAAUUAGACCCACAGCAACAUGGAUCCUUUUUGUUUAGUAUGUUAAAGAAGCAAAAUGACGUCAGUGGUGACUUCAUCUUUGCACCUUAUUCUCCAAUAGAUCAUAAGUAAGAACCAAUCAAACUACAUUUAUAAUGAAGCUUACAUGAUCUUAAUAACAUCUUUUGUAUCUAUAGCAGUUGGGUGAAUUAAAAGGUGCAAAAGUAGUUGAGUGAACACACAUAGGGACAAAUUUAUUGAAACUGAAUUUGAUUUGUAAGGUGAUGUGUUGAAUAAAAAUUGAAGACUUAGAGAA